rnacentral:ncRNA from 2 species
UUCUUAUCAAGAGCGGUGGAGGGACUGGCCCUAUGAAACCCGGCAACAGCUAGUUAAUUCUAGUAAUGUGCUAAAUCCAGCAGGUGUUCCCUGGGAGAUAAGAU